UACGUAGGGUGCAAGCGUUAAUCGGAAUUACUGGGCGUAAAGCGUGCGCAGGCGGUUUUGUAAGUCUGUCGUGAAAUCCCCGGGCUCAACCUGGGAAUUGCGAUGGAGACUGCAAGGCUAGAAUCUGGCAGAGGGGGGUAGAAUUCCACGUGUAGCAGUGAAAUGCGUAGAGUAUGUGGAGGAACACCGAUGGCGAAGGCAACCCCCUGGGUCAAGAUUGACGCUCAUGCACGAAAGCGUGGGGAGCAACAGG
rnacentral:rRNA from 1 species